GAUGAACGCUGGCGGCGUGCCUAAUACAUGCAAGUCGAGCGAACAGACGCGGAUCUUGCUCCUCUGACGUUAGCGGCGGACGGGUGAGUAACACGUGGAUAACCUACCUAUAAGACUGGGAUAACUUCGGGAAACCGGAGCUAAUACCGGAUAAUAUAUUGAACCGCAUGGUUCAAUAGUGAAAGACGGUUUUGCUGUCACUUAUAGAUGGAUCCGCGCGGCAUUAGCUAGUUGGUAAGGUAACGGCUUACCAAGGCGACGAUGCGUAGCCGACCGGAGAGGGUGAUAGGCCACACUGGAGCUGAGACACGGUCAAGACGACUAAGGGAGGCAGCAGUAGGGAAUCUGCCGCAAUGGGCGAAAGCAUGACGGAGCAACGCCGCGUGAGUGAUGAAGGUCUUCGGAUCGUAAAACUCUGUUAUGAGGGAAGAACAAAUGUGUAAGUAACUAUGCACGUCGUGACGGUACCUAAUCAGAAAGCCACGGCUAACUACGUG
rnacentral:rRNA from 1 species